rnacentral:pre_miRNA from 1 species
AAUAAAUACAGUUUUACACUAUUCAUCUUCAACGUUUGAUCGUUUGUUUUAUUUGAAAAAAUUUUAUGAUUACUAUAUUUAUUGUUAUUAGAUGAUAAAACAUGAAUAAUACUUUAUGUGUGACUAUUUUUUAAAAAAAAAUUAUAAUUUUUUUAAAUAAGACGGACGGUCAAACGUUGGACACGGAUUUCCACGGUUGCACUUAUU